rnacentral:rRNA from 1 species
GUGCCAGCAGCCGCGGUAACACGUAGGAGGCAAACGUUAUCCGGAUUUACUGGGCGUAAAGCGCAUGUAGGUGGUUCUGUAAGUAGGGCGUGAAAGCUCCCGGCUCAACUGGGAGAGGCCGUUCUAAACUACAGAGCUAGAGGAUGGUAGAGGGAGGUGGAAUUCCGGGUGUAGCGGUGGAAUGCGCAGAUAUCCGGAGGAACACCAGUGGCGAAAGCGGCCUCCUGGUCCAUUCCUGACACUCAGAUGCGAAAGCUAGGGUAGCAAACGGGAUUAGAGACCCCGGUAGUCCUAGCCCUAAACGAUGUUUACUUGGUGUCGGUGGCCUAAUCGCCAUCGGUAUCGAAGCUAACGCGAUAAGUAAACCGCCUGGGGACUACGGCCGCAAGGUUAAAACUCAAAUAAAUUGACGG